UGGAUAAAAUAAGGAACGAAGAAAUAAGGGAGAGAGUUGUAGUAGCACCCAUUGUGAAAAAGGUGGUAGAAUUGCGUCUCAGGUGGUUUGGACAUUUGAGAAGAAGACCGACAGAACACUCAAUCAGGAGAGUGGAUGAAAUGGAAGAUGGACAAGUGGUGAAAGGCAGAGGAAGACCUAUAAAGACCAUCCAUGAGGUGGUCAAACGAGAUCUACAUGUAAACGACAUGAUAUAUGAUAGAGUUAAAUGGCGUCGUUUGAUCCAUGUAGGCGACCCCAUCUAGUGAGACAAGAUUUUGUUGUUAUUGUUGUUGUUGU